ensembl:lncRNA
GUGGGUUGGGGGCGGCGCCCGGGAGCUUCUGUUCUCUAGGCUUCCGCGGGGCUUCUGCAGCAGCUCAGCUAGUUUCGCAAUAGCAGGAAAAAGCGACCCUCGCUUUAGGGAGAAGCAGUGUUCUCGCAGGAUCCGGAGAGGAGCCCCUGGCCAAACCAGAUCCACGGACCGGAACUGUGCCGCGCUGAGCUGCGCCUCCUGGAACUGUGGGUGUGGACAGGAGGUGCCAGGCCCCACACAGCUGCAGGGGCCGGGCUGCUACUCCCACCCGCCAGUAUUCCCCUGGAAGUGAGACCACAUCUGAAACUUCAUCACCACCAGUUGGCAGAGUCCUGCUCUUCAGCUUAGACUGACCUGGAAGUCCCUAUGUAGCCCAGGUUGGCCUCAAACUGGAGAUCCUCUUGCCUCAGCCUCCUGAGUACAGGGAUCACAGCAGCCACAGAGCUGAGCAGAGCCAAGUCCUUGGAGCCGCGCAGGGCAGUGACAGCAUCCCACAGAGGGGCACAGGGAGGCCGAGGACACGGCAGCAGGCCCACCGAGGGACGCCACCCCGUCCCCAGGAUACGGCCGGCCACAUUCGGACGGUGCUGGCAGUGCCAGGCCCGCCGGCUCCCUGUGCCAGCCGCUGCACCACACAGCCUCCCUGGGGGGCCCACCCACCACAGCCCCCACGGGGCAUGGGGCGCCUGGAAAAUGGAUCUCAGGG